CUUAGCUCAACGGUAUGAGUCUUGGGUAAACAGGCAAACUUUGGAUGAGCGCUCUAUGACAGAAAAUAAGGUGUGCAAAACAUGUCAGCGGCCUUUGCUCUACCUGUGAUCUCUCUGCAUAUGUAAUCUUUAGCAGACAAGGACAUGCUACAACUCGUGCCUUCCAGUACUGGAGAUAGCAUUCCACUUCCCUGUUUAUGUCACUUUUCUGCAGGCGGACUGAACUCGAGCACAGCGUGAGGUAACAGAGCCCUGAUAAUGGAGACUUUCCCACGCAUUUCUCAGUAAAAUGAGACGAGGGCUUUGUAAGCUUCGCUCUGGGAAAAAAAGACUGUCAUCUGACACAGAAAACGUAAACAGUCACACGGUUCUCCCGUGUUGAGAUCCUUCGUGUCCAUUCACAUUAUUGCCCUUUUCCCGAGUGUUUGAAAACACAAGUGUUGUUCUUCCUCUGCAUUCCCACCCAAAAUUCCUGCUGUAAGAAAACAAUGUUGUUUUAACUUUUCACAUGGAGUUCUCUCUAUUGACCUUAGAAUCGACUCUCUUAUCCAAUACAGCGCUCUUGCCAGAUUUUGCAUGAUCUUGCAGGAUAAUGAAUUCAUGAAGACUUCAGGAAAUGAAAGUUAGUUGACAACUACAAGUAAAGCAUAGCAUGCAGUACAAUAUCAUUCUUGAAUUUGCACUUAUAGGUGCUAUGUGUUUUUGCUUUUUUUUGCAUUAAAGACAUAGAUUUCAGAGUCAAGUGGUUCUGAGGUUCAAAGGAUUUUCUUUACAGCACCUAAUUACUAAGAGUGAAUUUCUAUCAUGCCAGACAUUUUCCAUUCAGUAGAAUGUUUCAUUCUAGAAAGCUAGAACUGUUAAUGCCAAAUAAAAAAAUGAGCAAGUAUUAAUGUUUCAGCAAACAACUUAUCACCACAAGAAUUAGUGCUCUCCAUUUCCGCAUUUCAGCCACAUAUCUGUCUGACUGCGCCAUUGCGAAUUCAUGGAACUCAUCAGACCAGCAUUGUUUUCAUACCCUCAAAACAUUCAAAUAACUUCCCCUUUAAAUGGAGAAGAGUACCAUUGAUUUAGAAUGAAGCAGCACAAGUGCAAUAUCAUGACAAAGUUCCAGUUUUUGGUUUCUACACGAGGAAACAACAUGGACCAACAGUCUUCCGUUUCAUGUCUAUUAAUUUUAUUAAAAUCAUUUGUCAUUGAGGUUGGGUUACCUAUAGAUCUAUAUAAACACCAAGUGAAAUGACAACAACAAUAUAGGCCAUGUGCAAUGUCCUAAUCCUCACUUCCUUCCACUGUAGCCGCACUGUACACCAAUAAUCAGUAUGAUUCUGUUUUGUUUAAUGGUGUUCAGAAAACCAGAGAGAUACCUGACAGAAGCCUUGAGUGCAAUAUACUCAGGAGUGACUGUGAAGCACGGAAAUUAAAUAAUAGCGAACGUCAUCUCAUUUAAUAAUGGAAAACCGAAUAUCCCGAAAGUGCAAACAGCACUCAUAUUGAGUAUCAUAUUCCCCACUGAGCAAUGUUUCCACUGGAAAGUACCAGUAUUCUCAGGUUCUUGGUAGUCUUCCUCUGAAACUCCACCUGGUACUCUCAUGCCUCAUAUCAAAUAUUAAAUACAGUAAACACAAUAAAUCAAUCCCAUUUCCUGGUUUGUUUAAGUAUUGAGUUUGAGUUACACUGUACACAAAAGCAAUACCACACCACAGAUCAUUGAAUGUUGAGGACAUAGAAAGAUUAACAAUGAAACAUCAGUUUUUACAGUGUCAUUGAACAUUCUGAAGCAUAUUUAACCUUUGCAGAUGCACAGAGAGUCUCUCAGCUUAUAUGUCUCUCAGAACUGCUCUCAUUCCUUCUGGAAUCAGAGGCAGUGUUGUUUUUUUCUUUCUUUUUGGCCUGCUACCAGCAAACAGAGCCUCCUGACUGGCCAGUGGAUCUCUGCCUGUGUGGUAAACCUUUGGCCAGCUCCUCAUUCCCAGUCAUGUGAGCUGCACCACCCCCGCACUGCUCUGCACUGCACUCCAGUGCACUCCACAUACUGCUAGCUCCCUCCAAAUCACCUGAUCUCCUUAUGGGCAUCUACAGUCUACAUGAAAAACAGAAGGCUGGAGGAACAUACUCACACAGCCAGAAUACUGGAUAUGACGUGAGACAUGACUCAUUCAUUCCUCUAGCCUAGCCAGCAGGAAAGUCAAUGUAUCACCCUUGCACUUAUUUACCUGCUGUGUUGAUAAAGAAUGGUCUGUUUUAAAUGAUAGAUACAUAAUAUCUUUUUCAUCAUCAAUUAAAGCAGUUCUGCAAAGAAAAGUAGGCUAAAAUUCCUCCUCAGCAUAAGACUGAUAUCAAAUUACAGGAAGCAUUUGGUUGCAGCUAUUGCUGCAAAUGGUGCAGAACACACUGAGCUGGCCUACAGAUAGCCAGUGUCUGCGGUAUGUGCUUCUCUGUCUAAACGAGAUUACCGCGGGCUUGGUUGAGACUUUGAGGUGCUUGACUAUUCAGAGCAUGAAGUUAUUACAAAGGACUAAACGUCAAAAAACCUGUUUAUACGCCUCAUACUUGUGUGCUCUGUGAUGUGACAAUUUAAGCAUUGUAUUUAACUUGCUUGUGACAUUCCAGAAUGUGUUUUUCCAGGAAAAAGAAAUAAGGGGUAAAUUGAAGCUAAAAUGGAAGGCAACUGGGUUCUUAUCAGCUGAAGUAGGACGCACAUGAAAGGUCUUGCCGCAUACCAGAAGAAGGGAACAUUCCUUUUCUGUUUGUUUUAUCGCUAUGAUAUCAAGUCUCGCCCAACAUUUAAUCUUACAAGCACAUACUCUGUUUCUUAGUAGCAUUUAAAAAACAAAACAAACUAAUCACGUGGUUAUCUUGAUUGAUGUACGCGUGGAAUGUGAAACCUUCACAACUUUCUAUUAAAAGUUUGUUUGGUGCAGUGUACUUAAAGAAUAAAAUCAAAUAUAUUUGUUGUGCACAGUGGGAUUUAUAUUAUUUAAUAAUAUUUAACUGACGUACUUAUACCUAAAACAUCUCAGGUGUCCAAAUCAUAUCAUCACAGCAUUCCAGUUGGUCUCUAGGAUGGUGAAAUUCUGAGCAAUAUUUUAUCACUGUCGUCCAGUUUUGUUUUGUGAAUGGCUUCUUGUAAAGUUAUUUUAAACUUUGCAUACUGCAAUAAUUUAUUAAGAACAAUUUCUGAGAGUGCAUGUUUGUUAUAUACCUCACAAUCUACAAAGAGCCAUGGCUAUGCACAUUUUUGCCUUUUCUUUACAACUAUGACAUGGCUGGGUCUCAGUAAUGUUCUCUGUGUAACGUGAUAAACUGCCUCAUUUCAUAUGCAUGGGGACAGUGUUGCUGGACCACCACAGAUUUCAUGGCUACUUUGUGGUUUGAAUCUACAACCACACAUGUAUGGUUAUGUAACUUGCUAAUCCACAUAUAAACUGAAACCUUCAUGUCAGUUUUUUAAAAUUAAUAAUAUUUAAAUAUUAACAUGUUAACAUGUAUAAGAUGCAAUGUGUAUUUCUGUGAAUGUGUUCAUGUGAGUGUGCGUGUGUACUGGCUGUAGCAGGAUGCAGACUGACCUGGACUAUUUGUGUCAGCAAGCUGGGUCAGGCACAUUCUGUACGGAGCAUCCAGCCUGGACUGAGACAUGUCCUAACUUGCAGACAGGGCUUACAUAAGCAGACGAUGCAACCGAGUGUAAUACUUCACAAGGUGAUGCUGAAAUGACAGGGCAGGUACUGCGCUGUAUCUUUUCUGGACAUAACAAAGCAAUCCAGCCAAGUAUGAACUUGCCACAUCACUGUUAUUUAUGGAAAGAAUCACGGGUAUUAGACAGCAUGGCCUACUUACUGGACACCCGUGUCUGUUAAAAGCAGCAGUAAUUGUUGCUAAGAAGCUUUAUGUAACCACCAGAGUUUAACCACCAUUUGAUGAGUCAGAGGGAACCUCUUUCUUUACCAUCUCAGUAACCACAUGUACUGUAGGUUAUGCCAAAGCAGAAAAGGGAAUAACAUAACGACAGAGGAGUGGUUACUGUUGUCAUUGGUGACCUCAUUUUUAGAGGUUUUUUUUUUUCUUUUUUCAGAAAUAUAGAUUCUUACACUGUCAGCAGUAAGAAGAAAAGGAUUAACAUGUGGUGUCUCCGUGUGGAGGACCCCUGUCACAUGACCCUAGGAGCCUUGAAAAACAGACGCUCACCAGCUGGUUUCUUACAAGCAAACGUACUAUCAGAUGUGAGUGUGUGUUUGGGGAGAUGGGGCAUUCUCUUAUUAAGUUAUUUUGCCUGCCUGCACCAGUUACAUAAGAUGUCCUUCGGUAUAGUACAUAAGAUGUCCUCCAGUAUGAAAAGUGAGAGAUAAGUGAAUCUCUGUAGGUGAAUAGUAAAUUGAAAAGAAGUGGUGGCUGACUUUACACAUUUCAGAGAAUGAACAUUCUAGUCUGCAUCCUCCUGAACUGAAGAUGUUGCAGCUAUUGGAUAAGAUCAGAUUAAAAAUACAAUUCAUAUUUAAGAAUAGGAUAAAAUGCUUUUAAAAUAUGUAUAUUGUUGAAGAUUUUAUUUUAUUAUUUUAUCUUUUUAAAAAAAAAAUCUAGCCGUGCAAGUGGUGGGGUUUUUUAUGUCUUUGUAGAUAUUAAGACAGGUCUUGCUAUAUGGAGUUACAUUCAGAUGCUCAUAUGAUAUUUUUACCAGCACAUUUUGUAAGCUCAUUUCUAUAAGGUCGUUUUUUGCCUGUGGUUAAGCGUUUGCAUUAUUUGUCCACAAUAAGAAGCAAUCCCAGGCUUUGCGCUCUAUUUUGUUGUCAUCUUGAAUUUUGUAGACUAUUGCAGUUUUGAAAUGGGAAGAAUAUUUCCUGUGUAGAUACAUCAUAAACAAAAAAAGGAUUAUUCAUGUGACCUGGCACAGGUUCUGGAGCCUAUCCCAGCAUGUACUGAACGAGAGGCAGGAAUAUUUCACCUUUGCAGGGGAUUUUGUAGAUGCUGUUAUUAUCCAGAGCAACUUACGCAGGUUACAUUUUUACAUAUAAUCCAUUUCUACAGGUCCAUAUUUUUUUAUUGGAGCAAUUCAGGUUAAGUAUCUUGCUCAGGUAUGCAGUGACAGUGCCUCAGCUGCGAAUCAAACCCACAACAACGAAAUAAAAAGGAAUAAACCUGAAAAUAUUCAGAUUUAAUAUUGACUGCUAUUUAUAUUAUAAAAAUCAGCCUUACCAUCUGUUCUUUACUUUUAUCAGUGCGGAAAAUGUCUGAGUCUAAUAGCUGUAAAUGACUGGUAUAUGGGAACUAAUCAUUACCUUUUUAAUCAGCAUGAGUCACAAUGAAACAAGCUGAGGCGCGUCGGCGUGUCACCUUCCUGUGACUUGGAAUGUGCCAACCCAUUCUGAAGCAAGUCUGAACCGAAAAUUCAAACUUCUGGGGAAUUUCCAGAAGUCAUCAUGCAUGUAGUUCAUUUUGUGUGGGAGAAAAUUAAUCCCAAUCCUGAUUUAAAUGCCAUCAAACCAGUUUUAACAGAAUUGGUUGUGUUUUUGAAUCAGGAAGUUCUAUUUUUCGUAAAAUGAAAAGAACAGAAAAAUGUUUUACUUUCGUAUGAGUGCAUUUCUGACGAGAAUACUUUUGAAGAAAUUGAGGGAAAGAUGUUAUAUUUCAUUACUCUUUCCUUGCCAUAUUUCAUUACUUCUCAAACUAGCUUCCACACAGAGAGGUGUGAAUAAUGCCAUGUAAAACUGAAAUUCCCAAAAACUUUGCUCCCACGCUAUGUUAACAGAUGGCUGGUACUGUAGAGGCAAAGGAAAAUACGCACCUGAUACUUGUGAAGGGAUACAAUGUUAGGGAUAAAUGUUUUUGAUGGCUGUACACAAACACAUUCUACAGUCAGGUAGACCUGAAUGUGACCAUUGAGAGUGUACAAUAGCCACAGAUGGGAGACAUGAAGUAAAAUAAAGAUAAAGAGAUGGGCUAUGAGUCACAGGUUUCUGUUUCAGAUUGUGUGUGGGCGUGUGCGUGUGUGUAUUUGCGUAUUUUGACAUUCUAACUUCUGGUUGUAAAUUAGGGGGGAAACCUGCUUGUGUGUAAGUGUUUAAUGUUUGUCAAAGAAGAGCGCAGCUUUUCUGUCAACACUAUUGCCACCCCUGAAUCUAUUCUACAUUGUAUUAUGCUCCGUUAAUAAACUUCAUUCCUUCUGA